UGGUAAGUUGUGCCAGCGGUACUAGUUUACGUCACAUCAUUACUCCCUCUGCCCAUUGAAGUUUUCCUGUCUAUCCUCCAAAAUCAAGUACUUGAGAAUUUAACGUAAGACCAUUCAUCGUCCUCUCUCUUUCGUCUAAUGUGAUGGGGCUGCAAAAUGUAGUAGAAGAAGAUGGACUAUGUUUCAGUUUGCAUUGCCACUUAGGUCGUAUGCUUAGUAUAGAAUUAUUCAUAUAAAAUAUUAGUAAUUGUUUUCCAGUGUGCUCAGUAUUAUUGCAGUAGAAGAAGAAGAAGAAGAAGCAGAAGUCCCUACAUGCAUGAUGGAGAAUUCUGCUGCUGAUGAACAAGAAAGUAUGAUUACAAAGCCUUUACUUAAUGAUGAUCAUGACGGAUUUUCAGGAAAGGGUGGCUUCAGAACCAUGCCAUUCGUUUUAGCCAAUGAGGCUUUUGCGCAGGUGGCAAGCCAUGGGCUACAGCCUGACAUGAUUCUGUACUUGACGAGAGAGUAUCAUUUGAACAUGGCUACUGGGUCUAACAUAAUCUUUCUUUGGUCAGCAGCAACAAAUUUCGUGCCCCUUCUUGGUGCUAUAGUUGCAGAUUCAUUUCUGGGUCGAUUUCGGACGAUCUUAUUUGGUUGUGUUAUUAGUCUUCUGGGAAUGGCUCUUUUGUGGCUAACAGCUAUGAUUCCACAAGCAAAGCCGCCUCCAUGUCAUGAAUCGAAUAAAAUUUGUAGCUCUGCGACUAGUUUUCAACUCUUUCUCUUGUGUUCUUGUUUUGGACUCAUGUCUAUUGGAUUUGGAGGAAUUACGUCUUCAUCCUUAGCUUUUGGUGCUGAUCAGUUACAAAAAGCAGGUGGCCACAACAAUGGACGGGCUCUGGAGUCCUAUUUCAGCUGGUACUAUGCGUUAUGCACAAUUUCUAUUUUAAUUGCUUAUACUUGCAUUGUCUACGCACAAGAAAGCUUGGGAUGGCAAGUUGGUUUUGGCAUUCCAGUCAUGCUCAUGUUGUUGUCAACUCUGUCAUUCUCCCUGGCUUCGCACUUAUAUGUUAAGUUGAAGGCUAAAUCAAGUUUAAUUGUCGAAAUGCUUCAAGUGGCUGUAGCCUCUUAUAGGAAACGGCAUAUAGAAUUGUCAACAGAGAGCUCAAAAUUGCUGUGCCAUCACCACAGGGGUCCAUCAAUUUGUCUUCCAAGUGAAAAACUAAGGUUCUUAAAUAAAGCUUGCAUCAUCAUAGACCCUGAGAAAGACUUGACAACAGAUGGAAAAGCGGCAGAUCCCUGGAGUCUUUGCACAGUAAAUCAAGUUGAGGACCUGAAGUCGAUUCUCAGAGUCAUCCCCUUAUGGUCCACAGGAAUGAUAAUGUUAGUAACUAGCAGCCAGGGCUCAUUUUCUGUACUUCAAGCAAAGUCCAUGAACCGAAAAUUUGGUCCAAACUUUGAAAUGCCAGCAGGUUCUUGUAGUAUGUUUGCCAUUGUCGGUGCAGUACUAUGGAUACCUUUUUAUCUUCAGAUAAUCCUGCCUGUUGCAUCAAGAAUUUUGGGGAGACCUGUUCGUCUCUCGACAAGGAAAAGAAUGGGAAUUGGAAUUGCCCUUUCUUUCAUAGGCAUGACAGUGGCAGCAACAGUGGAGGUUAAACGACGUAGUCUGGCUAUCAGGGAAGGAUAUUCAGAUGAUUCAGAUGCAGUGGUGGACAUGUCAUUACUUUGGCUUCUUCCCCAAUCUUUCCUGAUCGGUGCUGGUGUAACUGCAAAUAUAGUUGCACAGAAUGAGUUCUAUUAUUCUGAGUUUCCAAGAAGCAUGUCAAGUAUAUCUUCCACUCUUUCCUUACUUGGGGUAUCUGCGGCAAAUCUUGUUUCAAGUUUUCUUAUGAACGCCGUUGACAAACUCUCAAAACUGGGAGGAAAAGAAAGCUGGAUUUCGACCGACAUCAAUAAGGGUCACUAUGAUUAUUACUAUUGGGUACUUGCUGGCUUAAGUGUGCCUAACACGAUUUAUUUCCUCAUUUGCAGCAAGGCUUAUGGUCCUGGCAAAGAAGAUAAGAAAGAGACAACUUUUCAUGAACAGGAUGACUAGAACUAGAGGUCUUUCAUUGCUGUAAUAUAGUUGGUUAAACCUAGACAAGUUGCAUCAUGAUCAAUAUACCUGCAGAAGCCUGGAAGUCAAGAAUAUCAGUUGAUCUGGAUGUUUUCAACAAUGUCAUUCCACACAGCUGGUAAUGAAGGUGGUUGAUCUAAAAAAUGUUCUCGCGGGACAAAUUUCCAGAAGACUUUUCAUCUCAAGGCGUGCCCACACCAGAAACUGUAGAAGAAUACCCAAAAGACGGAUCCCGCGAGAUUGAUAAAGGAACAAAAGAAUUGGGAAGUGGCUACUCUCAGGUGGGCCGAAAAGGGAGUAGGGCCCAGAGAGUUUUUAAUCCUAAAAAGCUUUUGAACUUCAACAUCUUGGAGGGAAAAAAAGAGGUCAGCAGCUACUGGGGAGAGAAUUGGCAAAAGCCAGAUUCACGAGAUAUCAAUUAGAUUAGUUUUUAACUUCUUUUCUUCGGUCAGACUUUUUUUCUUUUUUCUUUUUCGGCAGCGAACAGAGGAAAAGCCAGAAUCACGCGAGCUUAAUAGAUUAGCCUUUGUUUCCUCCUGUCAGACAAUUUUACUCGCGGCUUUGGCUCUUGUUUGCAGCCGACUUCCUCUAGUGCUAAGGAUUGAUUAUACUACUUACCUGCGAGUAGUAUCACAAUAUGAGC